UACGUAGGGGGCUAGCGUUGUCCGGAAUUAUUGGGCGUAAAGGGCUCGUAGGCGGUUUGUCGCGUCGGGAGUGAAAACCAGGUGCUUAACACCUGGCUUGCUUUCGAUACGGGCAGACUAGAGGUAUUCAGGGGAGAACGGAAUUCCUGGUGUAGCGGUGAAAUGCGUAGAUAUCAGGAGGAACACCGGUGGUGAAAACGAGUCUCUGGUCCGCUUCUGACGCUCAGGUGCGAAAGCUAGGGGAGCAAACGGG
rnacentral:rRNA from 1 species